GGGCAACAUGACGCACUUGCGUGGUGCCUGCUGGGGCUGGGAGAGGAUUGUCUUUGGCUGGGACAUUGUUUCAAAAUUGAGAGCCAGCUGAAGCUUUUGAAAAACUUGCCAGCUGUUCAUUAUGACUUUUCAUCUGGAUGUUGAUCCCCACACAGCUGAGCUGCUGGAACAGAUCUGACGGGUGUUUCCUACAUCAUAAAACUGGACACAUGAGUGCAAGCUUUGACAGAGGCUUCAACAAAGCAACUUGAAUUUCUCCAGGAGCAGAUUGGGGAUGCUCGUAUGACCCAUUCAGCUUCUGGAAGUAGGGAUCACAUCUGAGUGAGGGGCAAUAAAACAAAUUACCUAAUUUGAA